GAUCAAUUAAACCCAUGUAAGUAAUGUGGUUCAAAAAGGAGUACAGCAAAUAGCCAAAUAUAUACACCACUACCAAGAUUCGCCUUGAAAUAGAACAAUGCUUAAUACAUACUCCCAUCAUCUCCCACCAAAACAUGCAAGUGAAGUUGUUAAGCUUACUUAAACAUUUGACUAUGAGGCGACAGACAGUCCACAUGAUACAAGGAUCUAUUAACUCCAUCAGCUUUCAAAACACUUGUUAAACUUACUUAAAACACUUGUUAAACACUCGACUACGCGGCCGCCAAACAGUCCAUAUAAUACGAGGGUCAAUCAACUCGAUCAGCUUUCGAAAUGCCAUGUACAUGUCCUGAUUGAAAAUAGACAAAUAGUUCACAGACCUACCUAAAUGUCGUUUUAAUUCCCCAGUUACAAUCUUCCUUUGUUCUUCUGAUGCCAAUGCUAGUUCGUACUCCCCCGUAUCACAGGCAUAUGCAUUACAUACAUAAUCGGCCAGCUCUAUCAACAGAGAAUCUUCCUUUUUAAUUUCCGCAUACAGUUCACGACAGCAGCCUCAACCACUACCAUCAAUUUCACAGAUCGCUCGUCAACAUAAUAGCGUUUCACAAAUCCUGCCAAAAUAAACAGAUUAGACAAGGAAACAGAUUUAUUCCAAAAUAAACAGAUUAGGCAAGGAUUUUUGGUUAUUGAGAUUUCUCAAGACCAGAAAUUUCAAUAACCAAACAGAUUAUUGUAAGAGGUUUUUGGUUAUUGAGACUUGUCAAGACCAGAAAUUUCAUUCCAGUCUUCAGGCCGGAUUGAGUUGUCUAUUGACCAAUUAUUUGCAUAUUCUUAGGGCUUUUCUUAUGCAUUGUCAACAUACACCAAGGUUGAACUGCGACAAACUUAAAAGCUAAGUAAAGUAACAUUGACACGGGUACAUGUGUUGGGAAUGGAACGGGGAUACAGAUUCUGAUUUAUUUAUAAUACACUGUUUAGACAUAAAACAUAAUAUCUCUCCUUCUCACCUUUCUUUUCUAUCUUUUCUUUGAUUGUAGUUUGAUGAAGGGUAAAUUCUUGGUCCUAUAUUUCAUAUAUUAGGGUUUCAUUACAAAUUCUAAUCUGAAUCAUGGGCAUAAGUUUGUAAGUGUGUACGAUGUGUGUCCGACACGUAUGUUGAGUGUUCGGGUAUCUGUAGGGGUACUACAUACUCCAGCCAAUCAAAAGCAGCCACGUGGCACAAUUAUCAUUACAGGUCGCCACAGCACCGACCUCCUAGUAGCUCGUUCACAACGACCCGAUCAUACAACGAGCAGCGACCUGCCAUACACACGUGCUCUCAUUCAAUGCACAGAAUAUUCUCACCAGUUACACAAUUAAUUCACAGGGAUGAUCCGCGCGCGUUACUCAUUUAAUCCUCAUUAUGAUGGCGGAGAAUCUGCAAGAUCCACGAUCCACGCCCUUCUAUCUUCUAUAUAAACAGAACUACGAUGGCUUGAUCUCUAAGUUCAAUUCCCCCGAGCUAGAGUACGUAGGCAAUCUCGAUCUCAACGAGGUGCAGCCACCCCGAUCUCAAACAUCCCCAUUUGGUCAAGUCUCCCUAACGACCUGACCUAGCAGUGCAUUAAUCUAGAAAUAGGUUAAUACAUUUGGCGCCGACUGCAAGGAAUUCGAUAUAAUCGAAAACCCAAACCCUCCCACCCACAAAAUCAAAAUCACCCAUUCCAAAUGACUAAUCAGGAAGUUACUAUCCAAGAUCUGCAGGCACAGAUUACACGUCUGCAGGAAGAAAAUGAACGUCUAAAGGCCGCACAAACCAACCCCCAACAAGGGGAAAAUAGCGGACUUGGAGUCAUUCCUGCUGAUGACUCCAACCAAAAGUUCGAGCAACUCAGCCAGCAGCUGGCGGAGUUCAAAGCAUCACAGGCUCUCCUUCACCGGUCCAAGAGCCACACUGCAGAGCAACUUGCUGUGCAGUCCCUUCAACAAUUCCAGGAGUCUCCUUUCUCCAACGAGAUCCUGGAACACGAUCUGCCGAACAAGCUGAAUGCCCCCAAAUUCGACCAAUAUGCAGGCGUCGGGGAUCCAACCGACCACAUCAAGGGAUUCCGGAAGUCCCUCCCUCUGAUCAAGGAAGAUCAUCUUUUGUGUUUGCUGUUCCAGUCCAGCCUCACCGGACCAGCACUCGACUGGUUUCAUCGCUUGAAGCCAGGAUCCAUCAGCUCGUUUGCAGAGCUCGAGAAGCAGUUUGUCAUCUUCUACAUCCAUAACAAGAAACGCCCUGUCACCAUCGAUUCUAUAUUCAAAGUCAAGCAGCAAGAUGGUGAGUCUCUGAGCACAUUUUUUGCUCGUUUUAAGUCUGAAUUACAUUCCAUUCAGGACUUCGCAAAGGAGCAUGAGACCUUUGCAACUAUCGCUUUCUCUCACGGACUGAUCCAAGGGUCCGACCUUCACAAGUCUCUGGCAAUGAAGAGACCUUCAUCACUAGACGAGCUCUACCUAAAGGUAAACCGUUAUAUAAAGCUUGAAGAAGCCCUCACUGGGAGGGAGAAGAACCACGUAGUCAACAACAUUGAGUCUGGCUCAAACAAACGACCUCGAUCAGAUGGAAAGAGGUUCAAAGCUAAGUCGCUGCCUACCGAGCAGCGAGAGUAUCACCGGUUUACGCGACCAGCCGGUUACAUCUUUGAAAGAAUCAAGCACAACCAUUGGUGCAAAAUUCCUGCCUUCACACAGUUGGAGGAUACAUCUGGUCGCCCGUACUGCAAAGUCCACAAAGUACGGUGUCAUCAGACUGAUGAUUGUCGCGUCUUGAAGCGCGCACUUCAAACCUGGGCCGAUAAAGGCUCAACAAUUGGAUCCUCGGAAGGAAUGAGGAAUCCACAGGCAAGCGGGUAAGGAAGGAGUCUAGAACGCCUCCCCGUUCCCCAAAAAGAAAUCAUAGCAAGGCCAGAACGGCCUCAGCAAGUCCAGCACGCAGCAGAGGGCGUAGCCUCUCCCAGCGCUUAGGUCCAACAGGCGACCUACGCGACCACAUUAACAAGAAGGUCGCCAACAAAGUUGACAGCGACAGCGAGUCGGACAGUCAUGUGGUCUACAUGAUUGACGAAUCUCACCACACCCCUGUCUCACGGGACAAAAAGAGACGAGUAGAACAUCUGCACCAUGUCUACUCCAUCACUGGUCGGGCAGCUCGUUUCAACAUUCCUGCCCGCCAAGAGUCCGACAUAACUUUUACUGAGGACGAUCUUAACAAGGUCGUUACUCCUCACAAUGACGCCCUUGUCGUCGAGCUGCGGAUUGCAGAUUAUACUAUCAAGAGGGUAUUUAUUGACCCAGGGGCAUCAUGCAACAUUCUCAUGUACAGGACCUUCAAGGACAUGAGGCUGCCCGACUCAGUGCUCAUCCCAGAUUUCACACCCAUCCUUGGCUUCAAUAGUUCAAGGGAAGACCCUAAGGGGGAAAUUCUUUUGCCCGUUACUGUAGGCAGGAGGGAAGACAAGGUCGUUGUAACCAGCAAGUUCAGCGUCCUCAAUAUCGUAAGCAAAUACAAUGCGAUUCUGGGUCGAAAGUGGAUCCAUGCUAUGAGAGGUGUGCCGUCAACUUACCAUCAGGUAUUCCGCUAUCCCGGCCCUUAUGGGAUAAUGGAACUCCGCGGCAACCAGAACACAGCACAGGAAUGCCACGGUGUUAUUGAAGUUGUCCCAUCGUCAAAGCCAUCCACCUCUGGAGUCAAGGAUGGUGAUCUCAAAGGGAAGAGCCUAGUCACAACAGAGGCUCAGGAGGGGAACAACAAGUCAAAAAGCCCGUCCAAAGAAAAGGCUGAACCUGCUAAAUAGCAAUUACAGAAGGAGCAAGUGAGCUCCCCCAAGCUUAGUCUCGGAACCACCGAUCCAGGCGUGCGUGUGAACAUUGGGUCAGAUGAGGACCCAAGACAUGUCUAUGUAGGUUCAGAAUUGGAAGAAGAUAAGUUCGCCAACUUUGUAAAUUUUCUUUCAAAUAAUAAAGAUGUUUUUGCUUGGUCGUACAUCGAUAUGCCUGGUAUAGAUCCAUCAAUUGCAUGUCAUAAACGGGUCAAUCCCAAUUAUCGACCUGUAAAGCAAAAACCAAGGAGGCUUGCUCCAAAGUUUCACGAAGCUGUUAACGAAGAAAUCAACAGGCUUAAACAAGUCGACUUCAUCAGAGAGGUCGAUACUCCAGACUGGCUAGCCAACAUCGUACCAGUCUUAAAGAAGAAUGGGAAAACAAGAGUCUGUAUCGACUUCACAAGUUUGAACAAAGCUUGUCCUAAAGAUUUAUUUCCACUGCCACGAAUCGAUAGGCUAGUCGAUCAGACAUGCGGCUUUGAGCUACUGUCAUUCAUGGACGCAUAUUCGGGAUACAACCAGAUCCCAAUGUACGAGCCUGACCAGGAGAAGACCUCAUUCACUACAGAGCAAGGCAUUUUUUGCUACAAAGUUAUGCCAUUUGGGCUAAGGAAUCCAGGAGCGACCUACCAAAGACUGGUCACCAGAAUGUUCGACGACCUCCUAGGUCGAACAAUGGAGGUCUACAUUGAUGACAUGCUAGUGAAGAGCGACAAAGAACGAGAUCAUUUGUACAAUCUCGACUAGGCAUUCCAAAGAUUAAGGCAAUACAGAAUGCGUCUUAAUCCAGAGAAGUGUCUGUUCGGGGUUGCAUCAGGAAAAUUCCUCGGCUACCUAGUCACCAGACGAGGCAUUGAAGCAAAUCCCGACCAGAUCAGAGCCCUGAUCGACAUGCCAAGCCCAAAAACAAAGAAACAAAUCCAAAAACUCAACGGCAUGGUGUCAGCUCUGAACAGGUUCAUCUCAAGAGCAUCAGAUAAGUGCAGACCAAUGCUUCAUAUCCUAAAGAAGGGGGCUACAUAUGAGUGGACAGAAGAAUGCGAGAAGGCCUUCAAUGAUCUCAAGGCAUAUUUGUCUACUCCACCAGUUCUCACAAACCCCAACGAUGGAGAUGUACUCGGCGUUUACCUCGCAACUUCAGAUUUCGCGAUCAGCGCAGUACUCUUUAAAGAAGAGAACCAGGUCGAGCGACCUAUCUAUUUCACAAGCAAAGUCUUACAGCAGGCCGAAAUAAGGUACACACCUCUAGAGAAGUUAGCAUUAGCACUACUUUACGCUGCAUGCAAAUUCAAGCCUUAUUUCCAAGCACACACUGUAAAAGUAAUCACCGAUCAGCCAUUACGCCACAUACUGGAAAAGAAUAACAAAACAGGUCGUAUGGCUCGAUGGGCAGCCGAGCUGGGUGAUUACACUUUCGAGUUCGUUUCACGACAGGCCGUCAAGGGCCAGGUCGUCGCAGACUUUUUAGUAGACUAUCCAGCAGAGGAUAUCAAUUGGGAACCAGAACCUGAAACAAGGCAAGUCCAAGACAACCCCCCAGAUACUUAGCAGCUGUAUGUAGAUGGUUCCCACAACUCCAAUGGAAGUGGAAUAGGUAGUGUGCUAAUCUCUCCUGAAGGAUCACAGCUCGAAAGAGCAACUCGCCUGGACUUUUCGACCUCAAACAACGAGGCCGAAUACGAAGCACUCAUACAAGGCCUAAAAAUGGCCAUCGACUUACAAGCAGUUCGUCUCAAGGUGUACAGCGAUUCACAGCUGGUAGUCAAUCAGAUUACUAACAAUUACCAGAUCAAUGGGGUCAACCUCAUCAGAUAUGCUAGCAAAGCAAAGGAGUUCAUCGGCAGGCUCAGCUAUUUCACAAUUGAACACAUACCCAGAGAUGACAACAGACAUGCUGAUUCACUGGCAUUUCUAGCAUCAAAGAUUGAGUCAGACAGACCGUGGGCCCUAACUAUAGCAGUCAAUUCACAACCCGCAUAUCUUUUCAAGGAGGAGGAUGUUCAUCAAAUCUCUGAUCUACUAGAGACAACUCCAGCAGACAUCCAAAGGACUUGGAUGGAGCCUUUCAUGAUUUAUCUUCAAACUGGUGUCCUGCCAUCCGACAAAAAAGAAGCCAGUCGAUUGCUGCAUAAAGUCACAAUGUACAAAAUCCAUGAGGGCAAACUUUUCAGGAAAUCAGCAACUGGAUUGUUAUUACGAUGCUUGAUUCCAAAGCAAGGUCAAAUGAUAUUUCAAGAAAUCCAUGAAGGAGAAUGCGGAAACCAUUCCGGUGGGCGUACCUUAGCCCAUAAAGCGAUCUCUCAGGGAUACUUCUGGCCAAGAAUGAAGGAAGACGCAAAGAAAUUUGUUUUGAAGUGCAAAGAAUGCCAGCGAUUCGCCGAUAAGCAACACCAGCAUCCGAAUGAUCUCAUUAACAUCACUGGACCAUGGCCAUUCCACAUGUGGGGGCUCGACAUCAUGGGGCCCCUGAUAAAAGAAAAGAAGUCUGAGAAGAGGUUCGUUCUAGUAGCCGUCGAUUAUUUCACUAAAUGGGUGGAAGCUGUUGCAUUAACCAACGUAACACAGGCAGAUGUCCAAAGGUUUAUGUGGGAAAAUAUCAUCACAAGGUUCGGACUACCAAAACGGGUAGUCACAGACAAUGGCACUCAGUUCGUUGGCAAGAAUAUAAAAAAAUUCUACGACCUGUGGAAAAUCGAGCAUUCAAGGUCAACUCCUAGAUAUCCGCAAGCCAACGGCCAGGUUGAAGCUGCAAAUCGACAGAUUCUAAACAAUUUGAAGAAGAAGCUCGAAGACCAGCAUGAUCAAUGGCCACAGCAAUUGGAAAACAUCUUGUGGGCCUACAGAACAACUCCUCGUACGUCCACUGGGAUGUCACCUUUCAGCCUAUGCUACGGAGUUGAAGCAGUUAUUCCCACCGAGCUAACAUUUGGAACGACCAAAUCACUUCUGGUCGACACUGAGCUCAACAAUCAAGCCUGGUCGUUUGGAGUCGACCUCCUCGAAGAACGACGUAACCACGCCACUAUAAAGCUCGAGCAAUACCAACAGAGACUCAAGCGAGCUUACAACAAAGGCGUCCGACCAAGAACUUUCCAGCCAGGGGAACUAGUCUUAAGGAAAAUGUUCCACAAUAAAAGAAAGGACAUGAUUGGCAAACUGAACGCCAAUUGGGAAGGUCCUUACAUUAUCUCAAAGGUCCAGAGCAACGGUUCUUAUCGUCUUCAAACACCAGAAGGGGAGAUCGUUAAGAACCCGUGGAAUGCUUUUCACUUAAAGAAAUUUUAUCAAUGAAAUGUAAGCAUCCAUUCAUUGCAUUUCAAUGUAUUGGUCCCAAGCAGACAAAACGACAUGACCAGUAAUGCAAGGUAAAUCGUUGAAUUAGCUUUUUACUUUAUGAGAUUUUAACAAUUACAGGUACAACCAAAAUAGAAUCAAGGCAUACAAGAGGAACUGUUUCAGUACGUCCUACUUGCAGCCAUUCAUCUCGUCUACCUGCCUUCUGAACGAGCUACCAGGACUUCCUGGAAACUAGCUAGUCAAAAGGAAUCCAUACACGGUCAUCAAAGUAAAACUGAUUACUGAUGGCAAAUACAAAAGACAAGGACUUCUCCACUCAAGCUCUCAAAGUUACAAGGGGGCUCUCAAGAAUAAGCUCUAGCAGACAUACUGCAACAACAAGGAGUGCAAGAAGCAAACUUCGCACAAGGUUACCCAAUACAAGAAAGGUAAACCAACGUUACCCAAUACAAGAAAGGGAAAACAAGGUUACCCAAUACAAGAAAGGGAAACUAAGGCUAGCUCAUUGCUGCACAGACUGGUCGCCUGAAGUAUCAACUUCAAUAAGGGCUCCAGCGACCUGGUCACUAGGGCCCAUCGAGGUGUCCUGAGCUGGCGCCGAAGUAUCUCCAACACCACCUCGCGUCUCCUCUCCUUCGGGCGACCCCAUCAAAGCUUUCUACAGCUGCUCACAGUAGGCCUGCCACGCCGCACCAUUCUCCUGGCUUACGUUCUGCCAGUGCUCAGCAGAAGCGUUAGCAGCAGCCACAUUUUCCUUCAACUGCUCAUUGGUCUCCUUCAGCUGCUCCACUGUCUCCUUCAGCGCCGCGACCUGAGCAUCCCUGUCCCUCAACUUGCACUCCGCAACAAGAGCAACAUUCUUCGCCUGCUCAAGCUUGUCAUUCAUCGCCUUCAGCUCAACCUCAGCCUGGGCACCAACUUCAGCGACCAGACGAAUCUCCUGGAAGGUCGCGUUAACCUACAAAGCGCAAACAAAUUUAGACAACAACAACUAAGCAGAAAAUAAUACUUACGGCAACACCUACCAAAGACAGCGCCGAAUUCAGCUUUGAGCAGUUGACCAAAAGAGAUUGAGACUUCACUGUUCGAGCAUCAGCUUCCAGAACGAUGCCCUCAUUCACAGCCCGGGCGAUGCAGGGGUCAGCAAUGGCACUGUCAUUAUCAUACACGACAUGCCUCUCACCACGGCCAUCCAAGUAGUCGAAGGGCCCAGGGCGAAACUCAGACGUCACACCCUUGCCUUUCUGCGAAGGCCGAACAGCAGUCUUCAUCGACACAACAGACAACUCCGGACCCUUAACAGGCGGGGUAAGAGCAGGCGUCGGCACAACGGGUCUCUCCAACAGCUUCAGAGUACCCGAGUGAGACCUCUUCUUCUGCCAAGAAAAUGCAGGCAGUUUGGGAAAUGAAGGCGGAGGAGACACGACUAGGGGGCUCGCCACUGCCUCCACCUGGCGCGAGCCACCACCACCUCUCUCAUUCUCCACAGGCCGUUCUUUCUCCGACCUACGAGCAGCACCAGCAGACCGCUCUCUCUCAGCAACCCUCGAGCUAUACACAACUCGUUCCUUCUCCUCAGCAGACCUCGAGCUACCACCAGCUCGUUCCUUCUCACCACCCCGCGAGCUGCCACCAGAUCGCCCAGCAUCACCUUUGUGAAUAGCAGACAUAUGUGCCUUCCUCAAUUUCUUCCUCCUUCGUAGCUCGUCUUCAACAGUUUUUGAACCACCCUUGGGAGUAAAAUGCUCCUUCAGAUGGGGCAAGAGCCGUAUCUUACGCUUGUCAGCCAAGCAACCAAAAUUGUUCAAAACGGAAAGCAGAUCGUUCUUCCUCACAAGGGAAUCGUCCCUGAUCGCUGCAAAAACACACAGCAUAAUCAAGUCCAGGAAAAGUAAAACCAUCUAUUACACUAAGACUAACGACCAGAAACUUACGAGUAUCAUUCCUAGUCACAUGACGCAACUGGAUACUCCCCUCAACGAUAGACCCAGUAAUCAGCAUGGGAUCUUUCCACCAUGGCUCACUACUUACAGGAUAAAUCAGAGGCAGACGUUUUGGCCUAACUUGCAUGUUAUAGCCGGAAAUAUCAGUCUUUGAAGAGCGUUUGAAAGUAAAAUGGUCCAACACAUCUUUUGCAGAGAUAUGCCCCCUAUGCAACCUAUUCAGGUCAUCAAUGACCCUCAUAUUUCUCCAGAAAUUGCCAUUCAUCUGGCAGGGGGCUCGACCAAUGGCAUUCAACACGUCAACCACCAAUUGAGACAAAGGCAACCUCAGCCCAGCACGGAAUUGAUGCAAAGUAAAUACAGUAGAAGACGGAUUAUUAGGUCGAUAGUCAGGAGAAAGUAAACGAUCUCCAAGAAAUCUAAUCUCUAAAUUCCUAAUCGACCUAAGAUCAUAAUGCCUCCUAACAGCAAGAUGUCGAUGUACAUAAUUCAUAUUCACGAUUCUACACAUUCUACCAUCGUCGCCCUCCACCAUUUCAUCAUCAGAAGAAUCUGGCCCAUGAGAACCACUACUCUGGGGGCUAUCUACCUCCUCGUCAAGAACGGGAGACAGAGGGUCAGAAUGAGUAUUCUCAGACUCAUACUCCUCAACCCCACCAUCACUCAAGUGAUCAUUUUGCGAAUCACUACCCUCAGACAUUACUCUAAAGCAAUACAGACAACAACAGAAGAAGAAAAAGAAAGAAAAUAAACAAUCAGAGGAAAGAGAAGAAAACAAACCUCACGAGCUCUCAAAGUUCUUCAGAUCGCAAGGCAAAAGCGGCAGCAAUUCAAAUAAAGGCAAGAUAAGUAAACCCUUCUCAAGGUAACUACAGUUUAAAUACUGUAGCUCAAGCAUUUCCAGCCAUCGAUUCAAAAACAUACGAACGGCUGAGAUCGACCAAAGGAUCAAUAUGCAAUGCAGUUAUUCUCCACUCACAAAACGUUUCGUAUCCACCGUUGGAUAAGUCCACGUGCAAGACAGAUACUCAAUCAAGCAAUACGUGCGUCAGUUGCCAUAACUACACAGCUAACUACCCGAGGAGACUCCUCCACUUCCCCGUAAGAUCGCCAUGAUUACCACAAACAGCGCUGCAUGACCGCCACGUCACCAAAUUCAAAAAGUAAACCUCAAAUCAACAUCGAAUGGUGCAUUAAGUCUUUUCAGCCCGCCUUCACCAGCCGACCAAAAAAGAGGGGGCUUAUGUAGGGGUACUACAUACUCCAGCCAAUCAAAAGCAGCCACGUGGCACAAUCAUCCAAUUACCAAGUCGCCACAGCACCGACCUCCUAGUAGCUCGUUCACAACGACCCGAUCAUACAACGAGCAGCGACUUGCCAUACACACGUGCUCUCAUUCAAUGCACAGAAUAUUCUCAUCAGUUACACAAUUAAUUCACAGGCAUGAUCCGCGCGCGUUACUCAUUUAAUCCUCAUUAUGAUGGCGGAGAAUCUGCAAGAUCCACGAUCCACGCCCUUCUAUCUUCUAUAUAAACAGAACUACGAUGGCUUGAUCUCUAAGUUCAAUUCCCCCGAGCUAGAGUACGUAGGCAAUCUCGAUCUCAACGAGGUGCAGCCACCCCGAUCUCAAACAUCCCCAUUUGGUCAAGUCUCCCUAACGACCUAACCCAGCAGUGCAUUAAUCUAGAAAUAGGUUAAUACAGUAUCCAAAAAGGAUUUUUUUUUUUUUGUCAAAAUGGAGUACCCAAUGUUACAUAGCUUAAAAGGAUAGAAAUCCUUCUCAAUCUAGAAAAAGAAUUUUCUGAGUUCUAACUGGAUUAAGUAUACUAUCUAACAAGAUAAUUUAGGCCUAAACUUUCUGAAUAUAGAUGUUUGGAUACCACCCCCUACUAAUGGUGAUGUAUUGACAUGAAAACAAAAAAUAUGAAAGCUACACACCUUUAGUCUCAAACUUCUUUUGGAAUGACUUGAAAUACUCUCCAAUCAACUUAUGAAAUGAAGCCUGCCCCCUCUCCAUUUCCCUAUGAAGUCGUGCAGCUUUCAGACCCUUUGAGUCAUGGGUGCAAAAAUUCUCAGCACGGGCGUCUUUUACAAUGUUGUCAGCAACCAGCGUUGUUUCCAUGUUUUCUAAGAAUCAACAAUAAAGAAAAAAAAAAUACAAAAGAAUAGGUUUAGGUCCAGUUAAGAGGUUUUCUCCAGACACACACACAAAUAUCACACUCACUUUCGUCGCCUUCAG
rnacentral:lncRNA from 1 species